rnacentral:rRNA from 1 species
UGGGGCAGCUACCAUGCAGUCGACGGAAACGAAGGUAGCUUGCUUACAGGCGUCGAGCGGCGGACGGGUGAGUAACGCGUAGGAACCUACCUAGUAGUUUGGGAUAGCCCAGAGAAAUUUGGAUUAAUACCGGAUACGCCCUACGGGGGAAAGUGGAGGAUCUUCGGACUUCACGCUAUUAGAUGGGCCUGCGUAAGAUUAGCUAGUUGGUGAGGUAAUGGCUCACCAAGGCAACGAUCUUUAGCUGGUUUGAGAGGAUGAUCAGCCACACUGGGACUGAGACACGGCCCAGACUCCUACGGGAGGCAGCAGUGGGGAAUAUUGCACAAUGGGCGCAAGCCUGAUGCAGCCAUACCGCGUGUGUGAAGAAGGCUCUAGGGUUGUAAAGCACUUUCAGUAGGGAGGAAAGGUUAUAGUUUAAUACGCUAUAGCUGUGACGUUACCUACAGAAGAAGGACCGGCUAACUCCGUGCCAGCAGCCGCGGUAAUACGGAGGGUCCGAGCGUUAAUCGGAAUUACUGGGCGUAAAGCGCGCGUAGGCGGUUAUUUAAGUCAGAUGUGAAAGCCCUGGGCUCAACCUGGGAACUGCACCUGAUACUGGAUAACUAGAGUACAGAAGAGGGUGGUGGAAUUUCCUGUGUAGCGGUGAAAUGCGUAGAUAUAGGAAGGAACAUCAGUGGCGGGCGACUUACUGGACCAAUAAUGACACUGAGGUACGAAAGCGUGGGUAGCAAACAGGUUUAGAUACCCUGGUAGUCCACGCCGUAAACGAUGUCUACUAGCCGUUGGGGUCCUUGAGACUUUAGUGGCGCAGCUAACGCACUAAGUAGACCGCCUGGGGAGUACGGUCGCAAGAUUAAAACUCAAAUGAAUUGACGGGGGCCCGCACAAGCGGUGGAGCAUGUGGUUUAAUUCGAAGCAACGCGAAGAACCUUACCCGCUCUUGACAUCCACAGAACUUUUGAGAGAUCAAUUGGUGCCUUCGGGAACUGUGAGACAGGUGCUGCAUGGCUGUCGUCAGCUCGUGUUGUGAAAUGUUGGGUUAAGUCCCGUAACGAGCGCAACCCUUGUCCUUAGUUACCAUCAUUUAGUUGGGUACUCAGGCAAGACUGCCGGUGACAAACCGGAGGAAGGUGGGGACGACGUCAAGUCAUCAUGGCCCUUACGAGUAGGGCUACACACGUGCUACAAUGGCCAGUACAAACGGUUGCAAUCCUGCGAGGGGGUGCUAAUCUGAGAAAGCUGGUCGUAGUCCG